rnacentral:rRNA from 1 species
UACGUAGGGGGCAAGCGUUGUCCGGAAUUAUUGGGCGUAAAGAGCUCGUAGGCGGCUUGUCACGUCGAUUGUGAAAGCCCGAGGCUUAACCUCGGGUCUGCAGUCGAUACGGGCUAGCUAGAGUGUGGUAGGGGAGAUCGGAAUUCCUGGUGUAGCGGUGAAAUGCGCAGAUAUCAGGAGGAACACCGGUGGCGAAGGCGGGUCUCUGGGCCGAUACUGACGCUGAGGAGCGAAAGCGUGGGGAGCGAACAGG